rnacentral:rRNA from 1 species
UACGUAGGCAGCAAGCGUUGUUCGGAGUUACUGGGCGUAAAGAGUGCGUAGGCGGUCCUGUAAGUUUGGUGUGAAAUCUCCCGGCUCAACUGGGAGGGUGCGCCGAAGACUGCAGGGCUUGAGUAUGGGAGAGGUAAGCGGAAUUCCUGGUGUAGCGGUGAAAUGCGUAGAUAUCAGGAAGAACACCUAUGGCGAAGGCAGCUCUCUGGGACGGUACUGACGCUGAGACGCGAAAGCGUGGGGAGCGAACAGG